UACGUAGGGGGCAAGCGUUAUCCGGAUUUACUGGGUGUAAAGGGAGCGUAGGUGGCAAGGCAAGUCAGAUGUGAAAUGCCGGGGCUCAACCCCGGAACUGCAUUUGAAACUGUCUAGCUAGAGUGCAGGAGAGGUAAGUGGAAUUCCUAGUGUAGCGGUGAAAUGCAUAGAUAUUAGGAGGAACACCAGUGGCGAAGGCGGCUUACUGGACUGUAACUGACACUGAGGCUCGAAAGCGUGGGGAG
rnacentral:rRNA from 1 species